GACGAACCGUGCGAACGUUAUUCGGAAUCACUGGGCUUAAAGCGCGUGUAGGCGGGCCGGCACGUCGGUCGCUGAAAUCCCCCGGCUCAACCGGGGAAGGGGCGCCGAUACGACCGGCCUGGAGGGGCGUAGGGGGACCGGGAACUUCCGGUGGAGCGGUGAGAUGCGUUGAGAUCGGAAGGAACGCCCGUGGCGAAAGCGCGGUCCUGGACGCCUGCUGACGCUGAGACGCGAAAGCCAGGGGAGCGAACGGG
rnacentral:rRNA from 1 species